AUUGAACGCUGGCGGCAUGCCUUACACAUGCAAGUCGAACGGCAGCGGACCUUCGGGUGCCGGCGAGUGGCGAACGGGUGAGUAAAGUAUCGGAACGUACCUUUCAGUGGGGGAUAACGUAGCGAAAGUUACGCUAAUACCGCAUAUUCUGUGAGCAGGAAAGCAGGGGAUCGCAAGACCUUGCGCUGAUUGAGCGGCCGAUAUCAGAUUAGCUAGUUGGUGAGGUAAGGCUCACCAAGGCGACGAUCUGUAGCGGGUCUGAGAGGAUGAUCCGCCACACUGGAACGGAGACACGGUCCAGACUCCUACGGGAGGCAGCAGUGGGGAAUUUUGGACAAUGGGGGCAACCCUGAUCCAGCCAUGCCGCGUGAGUGAAGAAGGCCUUCGGGUUGUAAAGCUCUUUCGGCCGGGAAGAAAUCGCGCCAGUUAAUACCUGGUGUGGAUGACGGUACCGGAAUAAGAAGCACCGGCUAACUACGUGCCAGCAGCCGCAGUAAAAC
rnacentral:rRNA from 1 species